GAUGAACGCUGGCGGCGUGCCUAAUACAUGCAAGUCGAGCGAACAGAUAAGGAGCUUGCUCCUUUGACGUUAGCGGCGGACGGGUGAGUAACACGUGGGUAACCUACCUAUAAGACUGGGAUAACUUCGGGAAACCGGAGCUAAUACCGGAUAACAUUUGGAACCGCAUGGUUCUAAAGUGAAAGAUGGUUUUGCUAUCACUUAUAGAUGGACCCGCGCCGUAUUAGCUAGUUGGUAAGGUAACGGCUUACCAAGGCAACGAUACGUAGCCGACCUGAGAGGGGGGCGGGCCGCAGGAGAACUGAGACGCGGUCAAGACCCCGAGGGGAGGAAGAGGGGGGGAUUUUCCGGAAAGGGGCGAAACCCGGCGGGACAAACCCCGGGUGGGGGAGGAAGGUUUUCGCGGCGUAAACCUUUUUUAUGGGGAAAAAAAAAAAGUGUAAGAAUAUGUCCCGUUCUUGACGGUACAUAAACAAAAAGCCAGGGCAAACUGCGGG
rnacentral:rRNA from 1 species